AAGAGUUUUAGAUAUUGGAUAUCAGCCAUGGGAUGCUUGGUUUCCUGGGUGUAGGGAAAGCAGUCAGAAUGAAACAUCUACUGGCAUGAAUUUGAUUGUCAUAAAUUAGAUAGUCAGCAAUGCAGUAGAAAGAGUUGCUAGUCUGAGGAGUCUAUGAUAGAGUCCUGGCAGCUUAAGAUGAUGAUUAGAAGAUGUGAGAUUGGAUUAGAUUAUGUGUGAGAUCCUUAGCUUUUGUCAGCAUCUCGACACACAAAACGUUAAGAAGUACAUAAUCAAUGACCUGAGCUUACAGUGGCUCUUCUCCACCCUCAGCCACAAGGGGACUUCCGAGAAGACAUACUAGGUGUUCACUGGGAAAAUACAGACAAUGCUAGGGGUAUUGGCUAAUCCAGCCUGGUCCCCUCAGAAGUGCUCCUCCAAUAUGAAGAUCUCCCAAGGCAAGAUAAGCCAUUACAACAGUCUUGAGAAGACAGGAAAGGCAGCCUAGGACAACCGAACCUCAUGCUUGUCAGCACUUAGCUCCAGCGGCAACCGGAGCUAUGAGAGUACUGAGGACCAGACAAGAGGAUAGAAUCGAUACUUGGCCUAUAGAUGGAGGAAGAGCAAAGCCCAUGGUUCUCAACUGAGUCUUACUUGAAUCUCUAACGACUUGGGGAGCAGCUGAGAAGGUCCCAGGGCUCCGGGCUGCUUUCAGGUAUCCUAUCAGUGGAUGCUCAGAGUGAUUCAGCUCCUAAUUGAUCGGGCCACUGCUACAGUUCCAAGCUCAUUUCAUAGUUCUGCCAUGGAUCUGCAGUGUGUGGCUUUUUCUACAUUUGAGAAUCACUACAAGCCUACCCUCAUUGAUUACCUGGCUUUGGUAUGUUAACCAUAUAUAGUGGUUUGAAUGGGUUUAGCCCCUACAGACUUAUGUGUUUAAAUGGUUGGCUCACAAGGAGUGACAUUAUUAGGAAGUGUGUCCUUGUUAGAAGAAAUGAGUCACUGUAAGGGUGGGCUUUGUGAACUCUGAGUGCUCAAUCUCUGCCUAGUUGGAAGAAACAGUCUCACCUGGCUGCAAUUGGAUCAAGAUACAGAACUCUCAGCUCCUUCACCAGUACCAUAUCUGCCUACAUGCUGCUAUGUUCCCUGCUAUUGAUGAUAUUGGACCAGACAUGAAACUGCAAGCCAGCCCCAAUUAAAUCUUGUUCUUUAUAAGAGUUGCCUUGGUCAUGGUGUCUCUUCCCAGCAAUGGGAACCCUA
rnacentral:lncRNA from 1 species